UAUGCAUUGGUUAUAUAUCAUAUAUGAAUUGUAUAAGAAAUACCACUAAAAUUAGUUUGUUAUACUUCUUACACUUUCUUGUUUGUUUUUUAUAAAGAAAAGUUGCAAAUCAAAAUGAAAAUUAAUUUUUCAUUAAAUUUAAGGAGGCAAAUUUCAUAAAAAUCACAGUUAUCUUCCUAUUCGUCUGAUUCAGAACAUAAUUAAUAAGACAGCGAGUGUAGUGUACGGCGAGUGGUAGAAACUUUAUUUUUUACAAAAGUAAGCACAAAGGAUCAGUCAUAAUGUAUAUAAUAAAAAGGAAUUAAUUUAAUAACAAACCAGGGACUAGUCUGCAAACAAUAAUUAUUACCAAUUGAGUGAACAAUUUUGGCCAAAUGCAAGACCCCUCGACGUCAACAUAUCCCUUUUUUGGACAUAUCAUACUACUCCUGCCAAUACUUUAAGGUCACCGCAUCUGUUCGGUAUUAAAAGAGGGAUUAUCGGUAAAAACACUCUAUGCGCUCUUUCUAUCUCUCUCUCGCUCGACGUAGAGUAUUAGUCAGUUUAAAUGUAACUUACAAUGGCAAAAAGGUCGAGACGACGGGGAAAAAUAAAUGCAUACGCAUAAACCCCCGAAAAAUGAUGCAAAUAUCAAGUGCACGCUGCGAGGGGUUAUUUUCAUCGGACAAUGGGCAAACACCUGUUUCUACGACCCUAGCCACAAAAGUUGCGAUCAAAAGAAAUCUUUGAUAUGACCUGAAAAUAUAAAAAAAAACCUUGAACCAAUUUUAUCCAACGGCAAGUCGACACAAAAUAAAAUAAAUGUCAUAUUGUACAAUUUUAUACAAUAAAUUUAAAUCGCAAUUA